CCUGCGGCAUCACUUGCAUCGACCUCUCACCGAUCACCGUCCCGAGGAUGCACGACAGACUGGCGGAGCAGGGCACCAGUGAUUGUUUCACCAAUUUGCUCGACUCAUUGUUCCCUUCCUCUGUCCACGCAACAUUGCCCAUUGUUGCUAAGUUGUUAAUUCAUCAGGCCCAUUAUUGCGGCUACAUAGUCUGUUCAUCUUGCCUGCCUUCUUAGGAGAAACCAAUUUACUGAAGGUUGGCAAUUCCGAAGUUAUUGCCUUUCUACUUUAAACUGAAAUAAUUCCUCUUUGUCUUUAAUAUGGAGAUGGGCACUGAACUUUAAAAAACAGUAUGAACUCAACCCCUUCUGUAAAUCAAAUAUUUCAUUUGCGGGGACGACGUGGGGCUCAUGUCGAGCACUUCACCUGCAAUGGGUGUGGCCUUCUCCGUCUGCCAAACAUGCUACAAGUACGAGCACCAUGAGGGAACUGCCUGGAGUGCAAGACCCGCCACAAGCUCCUCAAGGGUCAGUCAGGCUCCACCCACGGCCGAAGGCACUUGCAGAUGUGAAGAAUAUCCAUGUCCGAUUACAUCGCCAGAAAGCAAAAACCAUGAGAGCCCACACUAAUCAUCAAGGGAUUUUUGAAACGAGCAGAAGAUUAGUAACUUCUACGACAUCAAAGAUCUGACCUUUUAGAGUAUGCAUCAUAUUGAUUUACUUAUUGAUUUAUUCACACUAUAUCAGAUUUGUCUUGAACGUGAUACUUUAUUGACUGUACUGGACACGGGAAGUUAACUGUUUUAAUUAUAUAGGAUUAGUCUGCACCAAUUGCUGCAUAAGUUCUCCUUGAUACCAAUUUACAUACUUGUGCUACUAGGCCUUUGGUCAGUUUGCAACUGGUAUUUUAGACAUGUACGAGUAUUCUCAUGGUAUUUCUAUAUGUUUUAAUUAGUACCAGAUGGAAUUUGCGAAUUACUCUUACAAAGAGAAGAGAAAAGGAAACAUUAUUCACGAGUUUGCAGGAAUAUGGAAACUCAAGGUAGUCUGUUAGCAUAAGUAAAAAAUGUUUUUCAUUUUAUUUCUUGGUUCGACCAAAUUAUAUUUUAUCCGAACGUAUGGAUGAUCGACACAAUGGACGUACGUAGUUUCUGGUUAGCACUACUCGGAUAACAAUUAUGCCUACUAUUACCAUUUUUGUGCAUUGUUUGGUCUUAUGCAUUUUAGUUAAAUACAUCCUUUGUGACAAAUAAUGAUUUUUGAGCAUACUAUCUUCUUUUCAUGUGGGGAGAUCGCUGAUAGAAAAGAAAAUUGUGUUUCUGAUAUGUUAUGCUUAUUUCUAAGUGCUUCCAAUUUCGAACUACUAGGUAUGCAGCCUUAGAUGAACAACUAACCUCUUUAUUUGCUUGAGGAUGAUUUGAUUGUGCAAUUAAGACUACAUAAUUUCACUUUUCAUUUAUAUUUAUUGGUGAGGGCGAGCUGGCGGCGGCAUGGCGCGCUGGUGCGCGUGGCCGCGGGUUCGGCCAGGGUGCGAGCCGAUCUGGCAUGUGCGCUGGCGAAGUAAGGCGUAGAGGUGCUCCGGCCGGCUGGGUGCGUUGGUCCGUGGCGGAGGUGCGAGGUGGGCGUGGAUCUGGCGCCUAGCAUGCGCGAGGGGGGACAUAUGGGCGUUGUGCGUUUCUUCGCGGCGGGAGGUGUGACUGUGCUGCUCUGCAGAUUGAUGACGUUGUUCUCCUGGUUUCGUGGAUCUGCAGUGGGGUAGCCGGUGGUUGCGGCGCCAGAGAAUGCUGGGGCAGCGGCCUCGGGCUGAUGGCUGCUAUGGCAGGGGCUGCUGCACCGGCUCAGGAUGGUGGAUUUGGAGCGAUGCACUCAGAUCUGACCCUGGCAACUGCGUUGUUUCUAUGUCGCAUGAGUUGCUACAGCUGGUCGUCGCGUGAGGGCUAUGCCGGCUGACGGCAGGGGGGUGCCCUACACAAUGUGCUUGGCUCUGAUGGUCUGGGUAUCGUUGCGUGACCAGAUUUGCAAGCAAGCUCACUGAUAGGAGAUCAGGGACUCGGGCGAAAGCUCCAUGACCUUCUUAGAGGCAUAGUCGUAGACAUCUUCCUAUCCUUUCAUGUGCUUGGGUUCUCCGGGUGAGAACCUAAACUCCAGUUUUCUGGAGUGGGUGGCGGCGGCGUUUACGUCGUAACCAUCUUCAGAGGCGUUGCCUUGGAGGGCCAGCCUUUGGAUGUCGUGUGGGGCUCUUUCGUUUUCAAGGGCGGUGUAUGUCGGGGCUGCGGCUCCGGGAUCUUCUAUUAAGUGUCGAGGCUGCGGCCUUGGGCAGUACUGCGACGACAGCUCCAAGAGGUAGGGCUGCUUGUCGGCAUGGCUUGGGUGAGGACCUUGAAGUGCGGAAGCAGCAAGGUUGUCAGCUCCGUCAAUGCGCCCCAGUCGGGACUGUUGGACGACAUGUUGGGAUAGCGGCCCAGGAUGUGGUGCAGCGUUCGUGGUCUAUGUGCGGUUGGCCUGAGCAGCGUGAGCUGCGGGUAGCUGUAUCGUUCGGCGUAGUGCCGGCCAGGUUGUCGCUCAUCCAGGUUACCGACCGGGAAGAGGUGUAGUGCCGGCCAAGACGAGAACAAGGGGAAGCUGCUUGGUUGUCUGUGUUCAUCAAAGGUGCUCUCUCUUUUCCAUCUUUCUUUUUAUUUACUUAAUCCUAGAUGGGUGACUACUAAUUUCCAUGUCUACUGGGAGGAAGAAGGUUGGCGGACGUAUCUUUGUGACUAUGUCAUUCACGUGCUUUGUUUCAACUCAUAAAGUGGAUCCUUUUUAAGCUAUAUCAAAUCAUAAGACAUAAUUUUCAGUUGAUUUUUUUCUUCUAAUUCCCAGUUUAUUGCUUCACAUAGACUAUUACAUAUUUAUGCUAGCCAAUUCAAAGCUUUGUCCCAAGGGCAAGCAUACCAUUGAAAAAAUAAAUACAUGUAUGACAGAUCAGCCAGCAACUUGUUGAUCUGUGAUUCUUUGAAAUUUGAUGCUUAUAACUGUUUAUAAGUCAGUAUUGUUCAGAGCCAAAGAUAAGUAACAAUCUAUUUGGUUAAGUUGAACACUUUCAGAUCAGGAGUAGUAGAAAUUCUUAAGGGCAUUGGGAUAUUGAACUGCAGAUAGCUUCGGCAGGUUUGUUAGGCUAAUAUAAAGUAGGGACCUUUGCUACAUAAUGAUACAAAGAUGAUACCGAAGGUUGUUUUGCAACUAGCAAGUUUCAAGGUCACAUGGAUGCUGACAGCUCUCAGGUGUAUGGCCUAUUUGUUGCUGGGUAUUGUUGCCUUUCUUCCUGGUUUAUACAGCGGAGGAUCCUGAGUUGAUGCAUAUAUUGGCUCAAAAAGUAACUAGGCUCUGAAGUGCAGAUUGACAAGAGAGUUUCUGCUGCUAAUUGUUAAAUCUUAAAGAAACGUCUGUUCCUGAGGUUUACAAGUCCCCUUGUUCAAAUAUGAAAAUGAUUUAUUUGCAAACUUCAAUGCAAAAUGCCUGGUGAUUCAAUUCUAACAGAGGAGCUUGCUACAGCCAUCCAGGGGCCAGGGCGAUUAGAUGCCCAUCACUCACGGCGGCAAGAAGUUCCGUGUCGAGUUGAUGAACCAGCACCAGCUGGGAGCCCGGAUGAAGAAGGUUGUCCCCGCGGAGAAAAAGGAGAAGUGAUGAGAUGUUUUUGACAGCUAAUGGAUGAUGUUAUCUUAGUCUGUGAAUUUUUGUUUUGGUCGAUUUAGAAACCUUGUUUGAUGUCUGAAGAUCCCUUUUUGCCCACUGUUCAAACCAUCUCUUCAUUUUUGUGUAAAUGGUAACAAUACACUUCAAACAAUUAAGUUGUCAUCCCAAAAAAUAUUUUGUAAAA